rnacentral:rRNA from 1 species
CUAGAGUUUGGAUCAUGGCUCAGAUUGAACGCUGGCGGCAGGCCUAACACAUGCAAGUCGAGCGGUAACAGGAAGGAAGCUUGCUUUCUUUGCUGACGAGCGGCGGACGGGUGAGUAAUGCCUGGGAAAUUGCCCUGAUGUGGGGGAUAACCAUUGGAAACGAUGGCUAAUACCGCAUGAUGCCUACGGGCCAAAGAGGGGGACCUUCGGGCCUCUCGCGUCAGGAUAUGCCCAGGUGGGAUUAGCUAGUUGGUGAGGUAAUGGCUCACCAAGGCGACGAUCCCUAGCUGGUCUGAGAGGAUGAUCAGCCACACUGGAACUGAGACACGGUCCAGACUCCUACGGGAGGCAGCAGUGGGGAAUAUUGCACAAUGGGCGCAAGCCUGAUGCAGCCAUGCCGCGUGUAUGAAGAAGGCCUUCGGGUUGUAAAGUACUUUCAGUGGUGAGGAAGGGAGUGUGGUUAAUAGCCAUAUUCUUGACCGUAGCCACAGAGAAGCCG